GAUGAACGCUGGCGGCGUGCUUAACACAUGCAAGUCGAACGGUAAGGCCCUUCGGGGUACACGAGUGGCGAACGGGUGAGUAACACGUGGGUGAUCUGCCCUGCACUUCGGGAUAAGCCUGGGAAACUGGGUCUAAUACCGGAUAGGACUCCGGACUGCAUGGUCUGGGGUGGAAAGCUUUUGCGGUGUGGGAUGGGCCCGCGGCCUAUCAGCUUGUUGGUGGGGUGAUGGCCUACCAAGGCGACGACGGGUAGCCGGCCUGAGAGGGUGACCGGCCACGCUGGGACGGAGAUACGGCGCAGACUCCUACGGGAGGCAGCAGUGGGGAAUAUUGCACAAUGGGCGCAAGCCUGAUGCAGCGACGCCGCGUGAGGGAUGACGGCCUUCGGGUUGUAAACCUCUUUCAGCAUCGACGAAGCGAAAGUGACGGUAGGUGCAGAAGAAGGACCGGCCAACUACGUGCCAGCAGCCGCCGUAA
rnacentral:rRNA from 1 species